rnacentral:lncRNA from 13 species
GGUCCGGGCUAAGCAGAACGUCCAGAAUCGCUGCCUUCGUUGAAGUAAAAAUGUUCAUACAAAUUGAGGUUUAGUGAUCCCUUUUCUGAUAUCCAGAUGCUGUUUUCGGGUCAUAGGAAAUGAUGUCGGAGACAUUAUGUACAAAAAAAAGGUUUGUCGUAUGUACGUAAGAUGGCUACUCUCCACUGCAGCACCAUCUUAUAUCUGACUCCGCAAGUGAUUUUCAUAUAAUGAGACAGCAACUUUACCAGAGCCGGAAGCAGAACGUCAACACCUAGAAAUCAACCAGUGGACAUAUGCAGACACAGCACAGGGUUAUAGUGUGGACGUGAAAUGCCAAGGGGAUACGGUGUCUGCCCAGAGCCUACUAACCAAUAGCCUCUUCACACGGAUAAAGACAUCAACAAACGAAGGAUGUGCCCCAAUGCUGACGAUAUAUCCCCAAAGUCUCUAUGACCAAACUUCAAAUCGGUCUGCAACUUGGAUGUAGGUCUACCUACCUAAGCUCAUUUACAACACUUCUCAACCAACCAGCCCUAACCAAAUAAACU